rnacentral:rRNA from 1 species
UACGAAGGGGGCUAGCGUUGUUCGGAAUCACGGGGCGUAAAGGGCGCGUAGGCGGCCGAUCAAGUCGGGGGUGAAAGCCUGUGGCUCAACCACAGAAUUGCCUUCGAUACUGUUUGGCUUGAGACCGGAAGAGGUUAGUGGAACUGCGAGUGUAGAGGUGAAAUUCGUAGAUAUUCGCAAGAACACCAGUGGCGAAGGCGGCUGACUGGUCCGGUUCUGACGCUGAGGCGCGAAAGCGUGGGGAGCAAACAGG